GGUGUAGCAAUACACUGAUGGCGACCGGCAAACGGGUGCGGAACACGUACGCAACCUUCCUUUAACUGGAGAAUAGCCCCUCGAAAGAGGGAUUAAUACUCCGUAACAUAAUGAAGCGGCAUCACUUUAUUAUUAUAGCUCCGGCGGUUAAAGAUGGGCGUGCGCCUGAUUAGAUAGUUGGCGGGGUAACGGCCCACCAAGUCUGCGAUCAGUAACUGGUGUGAGAGCACGACCAGUCACACGGGCACUGAGACACGGGCCCGACUCCUACGGGAGGCAGCAGUAAGGAAUGUUGGUCAAUGGACGCAAGUCUGAACCAGCCAUGCCGCGUGGAGGAUUAAGGCCCUCUGGGUUGUAAACUCCUUUUAUCUGGGAAGAAAUGUUCUGAUUCUUCGGAACUUGACGGUACCAGAGGAAUAAGCACCGGCUAACUCCGUGCCAGCAGCCGCGGUAAUACGGAGGGUGCAAGCGUUAUCCGGAUUCACUGGGUUUAAAGGGUGCGUAGGUGGGCAGGUAAGUCCGUGGUGAAAUCUCUGAGCUUAACUCAGAAACUGCCGUGGAUACUAUCUGUCUUGAAUAUUGUGGAGGUAAGCGGAAUAUGUCAUGUAGCGGUGAAAUGCUUAGAUAUGACAUAGAACACCAAUUGCGAAGGCAGCUUACUACACAGUAAUUGGCGCUGAGGCACGAAAGCGUGGGGAUCAAACAGGAUUAGAUACCCUGGUAGUCCACGCCCUAAACGAUGAUUACUCGACAUCAGCGAUACACUGUUGGUGUCUGAGCGAAAGCAUUAAGUAAUCCACCUGGGAAGUACGAUCGCAAGAUUGAAACUC
rnacentral:rRNA from 1 species